CAUGUGACAGUAUAACUCCCUGCAUUUAUUUUUUUUCCUUUCUCCAUUCCAUUUCUAUUUCUACCCUUCUUCUUUUUCUCUUUUCUUUUUCUUCUUUCUUUCUAGUUGGCUACAACCACGGUGAAGGCCAAAAAAAGAGAACUGAUGCUGCAAUAUAUUUACAGGAUUUGGACAAGUUCUUUCAUUUCAAUCAAUGAACAUCACUGUAAAUCAUUUAGGUAGCUAUCAACAAGAACAGCCAGAUUCUUUCAGGGUGCUCUCAUAUGACAUAUACUCAAGGCUUUUGAGCAGCAUUGAAGAGUGGAGAGUGUGAAGACUGGAUUUAGCUGAUAAUAACAAUGAAGGAACAUCACCUAGAAUGAAUUAUGAUGCUUCCUGCAGUGAAAACGAGGAAGAAGACAGAAGAUCCAUUAAAGCCCCAGGAGCAGUUAAAAUUGUGGCAUAGGAUUAAAAAAUCUGUGUUGUGAAUUUCUUUGAAGACAGUAGACCCCACGAUGGGAAAUAAGAAUGGAUGAAAAAACAAGAUGAAAGGGUAAAUUGAUGGGACAAGAGGAUAAUUAAAUAUAUGGAAGGUUAAUUAAUUAGAUGACAUUGUGACCAAGAUGAGUGAAGGAGAUAGUUUAAUUUUCAGUUACUAAGGAGGACAUAAAGGGAUCACAGUGCACAACAUUAUAGAAUUCCUUCUUUGUAAUUUUGAUCAUAUUGAACCUAAGCUUGGAACAAAUUAAAAUUAUAGCAAACAACGCAUUACUGGGCAUACUCCUGCCAGAAAGUUCUGCUGAGUGUAGGUGAAUUGGGUUAUAAAGUUCUAAAUCUUUAGGGCAUAAGUUCUAGGAAGUUCUACUAAAAUAAAAGGGCUUUGAGUAUGAGUCUAAUGAUG
rnacentral:lncRNA from 1 species